rnacentral:sRNA from 1 species
UGCCGCUGCCCUUCCUGGGCGUUUCCUCCCUGAACUUGGGCCGUCUGGAUUUUCCAGACGGCCUCUUUUUUUGUCCUA